rnacentral:tRNA from 1 species
CGCGGGGUGGAGAAAAGGUAUCUCGCCAGGCUCAUAACCUGGAGUUCCGGGUUCGACCCCCGGCCCCGCUA